rnacentral:pre_miRNA from 1 species
UUUCUACUCCCUCCGUCCGAAAAUACUUGUCAUCAAAAUGGAUAAAAUAUAUGUAUCUAAAACUAAAAUACGUCUAGAUACAUUUCCUUUUAUCCAUUUUGAUGACAAGUAUUUCCGGACGGAGGGAGUAUUUG